UACGGAGGGUGCAAGCGUUGUUCGGAAUUAUUGGGCGUAAAGCGCGUGUAGGCGGUUUUUUAAGUCUGAUGUGAAAGCCCCGGGCUCAACCUGGGAAGUGCAUUGGAUACUGGAAGACUUGAGUACGGGAGAGGGUAGUGGAAUUCCUAGUGUAGGAGUGAAAUCCGUAGAUAUCCGGAGGAACACCAGUGGCGAAGGCGGCCACCUGGACGACAACUGAUGCUGAGGAGCGAAAGCGUGGGUAGCAAACAGGAUUAGAUACCCCAGUAGU
rnacentral:rRNA from 1 species